AGCAUCAAAUAAUUUUCAUCAUCACUUCUAAGUUUUUAGUUUCUUUUACUCGCCUUCUCCUCCCCUUUACUAUCAGUGCAUUGUUUUUUGUCAGUUGGUUUUUCUAUCAUAGAUUUUCUGAGCUCAGAGAGAUGAAGAAACUAGUGCUGGCAUUGGAAUCAUUUGAUGAGAAUGAUAGGCAAAAAGCCAUGAAGACAGUUUGUGGCCUUCCAGGUAUUGAUUCAAUCUCCGCUGAUUUAAAAGGUAAAAAAUUGACAGUAAUCGGAGACGUUGAUCCAAUUAUCGUAGUAAAAAAGUUGAGGAAAUGCCAUUGCACAAAGAUAAUCUCCGUUGAAUGAGCAAAAAAACCUGAACAGAAGAGUAGAAGAAAUAAGAAGAGAAAGAAAGAGACGUUAAAAAAAAAAAACAAAAAGAGAUACAGAUGGGCUUCUUAAAGCCUACGGUGUUACUUCCAAUCAAGGAGUAGAAGAAUAUUCUAAUAUUCUGUGCCAUCUUCAUUUUGGAUCUUGCAAGGCUUCGCUGGACAUUAUCUUAAUGUACUUUUUUUUAUUAAUCUUUUUGAGACUGACCUUAUUGUAGAUUGGUAUGCCACUGUUACCAUAAUAAAAUAUAAUAAUAUUUUUUUUAAAA